CCCGCACAAGCGGUGGAGCAUGUGGUUUAAUUCGACGCAACGCGAAGAACCUUACCUGGGCUUGACAUCCCGAUCGCACCUUAUGGAAACAUAGGGGUCAGUUCGGCUGGAUCGGUGACAGGUGCUGCAUGGCUGUCGUCAGCUCGUGUCGUGAGAUGUUGGGUUAAGUCCCGCAACGAGCGCAACCCUUGUCCUUAGUUGCCAGCAUUCAGUUGGGCACUCUAAGGAGACUGCCGGUGUCAAACCGGAGGAAGGUGGGGAUGACGUCAAGUCCUCAUGGCCCUUAUGGGUAGGGCUUCACACGUCAUACAAUGGUCGGUACAGAGGGUUGCCAACCCGCGAGGGGGAGCUAAUCCCACAAAGCCGAUCGUAGUCCGGAUCGCAGUCUGCAACUCGACUGCGUGAAGUCGGAAUCGCUAGUAAUCGUGGAUCAGCAUGCCUACGGUCGAAUACGUUCCGGCCUU
rnacentral:rRNA from 1 species